GACGAACGCUGGCGGCGUGCUUAACACAUGCAAGUCGAACGGAAAGGCCCUGCUUUUGUGGGGUUCUCGAGUGGCGAACGGGUGAGUAACACGUGAGUAACCUGCCCUUGACUUUGGGAUAACUUCAGGAAACUGGGGCUAAUACCGGAUAGGAGCUCCUGCUGCAUGGUGGGGGUUGGAAAGUUUCGGCGGUUGGGGAUGGACUCGCGGCUUAUCAGCUUGUUGGUGGGGUAGUGGCUUACCAAGGCUUUGACGGGUAGCCGGCCUGAGAGGGGGACCGGCCACAAUGGGACUGAGAUACGGCCCAGACUCCUACGGGAGGCAGCAGUGGGGAAUAUUGCACAAUGGGCGGAAGCCUGAUGCAGCAACGCCGCGUGCGGGAUGACGGCCUUCGGGUUGUAAACCGCUUUCGCCUGUGACGAAGCGUGAGUGACGGUAAUGGGUAAAGAAGCACCGGCUAACUACGUG
rnacentral:rRNA from 1 species